rnacentral:misc_RNA from 1 species
GAUAAUUCAGAUGCCAGCACCAGAACUCAAUCAGAUAAUUCUUCUGACUAUUCAGAUGAAGAAAGCAAUGCAGAUUUUAACUUAUCCCAAAAUGGAUCUCACAGCUGGAAAAGAAAGGAGGGAGGUGGAAAAGCAUUCUCAAAACCAUUCUCUUCUGGCAUGACCUUGGAUACAAUUCUUAGAAGUUCAAGCAGAUACAAGAAGGCCAAGCUAACAGCUUCUCAAUCACAACUUGAGGACACAGAAAGCCAGCCUGUUGAUUUCACCCCUGAGAAUGAAGCAAACCCUUGAAUCACCC